CAGAGUGAUAGACUGAUAGAGACUAUGGUGAUAUUGGUGAAGCGACGCUGUAGGAAUUCUCCAUCAUCUUAUUAUCUAUUAUCCAUUACCUCUAUCAUCACAGAUUAUCUGUAAGUUAUGUUAUUAGCGCCACAAAAAAGAAACGUUUAACAGUAACAUGAAAAAAAUGUCCGCUCUACACCCUGGUUGACACUCAAUUGCAAGAAUAACUAACAAUCAAAGACUUUGAUACUCACAUAAUAUUCUCCCCUUUCAAUUUGUAUCUCGUCUUCACCCAAAAAUGAAAAAUUCACCACCGCAGCAUCACAGCACAUCACAACAGACGAAAUCCCCCCAUUGCUUCUACAAUGAGAGGAAGGCAGCAUGACAUUCGCUUUUGUGUCUCAUCUGUUACUGUUAGUGAUUCCAGAUUGUUGACGAAAUAUCGUCGAGCUACCUCUACGUAUCACCCUUUUAGCUUUAGUCCUGUCAUUCUGAACUGAGCCUUACCUGUGAUUAAUCUUUCUUUCUUCUAAUUAGGUUCGAUGGCCAUUGAUGAUUAGUGAGCAGCAUAGGAAUGCGACAGCUUUGUCUGGGUCUGGGCUAAAUGCCCUACUAGAUAGAAUCCUCUUGGGAAACUUCGCUGCUCCUAAGUUACACAAUACACCUCUUAAGCUACUUCCAAAAAGCAAAACAAAUUUAGAUUAGGAUUUUGAGUUUAUGUUCAGGUGGGAGAUCCAUUUGCUUGUCUAUCAAAUAAUUUGAGAUCACAACAAAGUCUGAGCUUCAUUGCUGUCAUGCAGAUGGUUUCAUUGCAACCACCCGGUGAAAAAGGAGUUCAAGUUGAGCUGCAGCUGCUGCAAGCAGUCUGUAGCGGUGAUGUCAUCCUGAAGUGUUCUCAAUGUGUCAGUCUAGGCUGAAGCUAAUUAAAGUGUGUUGUUCACUUGGUCUAAACUACAUCUCUCUAAAUUUGCAUACCAGACCUUAUGAGAAGUCAUAUCGUUUGAAGAAGGACGACGACUACACAGUCAACAAGGUCCCAUGUUUGAAAACCCGUUAACUGCUACCUGUGAAUCUCCCUUUUUACUUCCUUAAACGGACCCUCUUAAUUGAGGGUAACUCUUCGCUACUGAUCAUCCACUGGACCCGACUUCAUCCAUUGGUGAAAGCUGACGAGAGACUGAUAAAUUGUGUAGAUGUUAGAUUAGAUUGCAAGUGCAUUUCUGGGCUCCCUUCUUUUCUGUGGCCCCGUUUCCCUAAAUAACCUCUAACCAACGCCCGCCGGUGGUCACUCACUGGCUGCGACAACCAGGAGGAAGGGAGAUGUUUGGUCGAACGGGGACUUGGAAGGCGCAUGAUUCGAUGAAAUCUGUUGGAGGGUCAUGAGUCUAAGCCGGAAGCCUACUAUGAUGCAUUGCUCUCAUAAUAACUGCUCCUCAGCUCUCUUCGCUCUUUUUCCAGGUUCUCUUAAGUCUUAACCACGGCCGGGUAAUCUCCCUGGUAGAGUCAGUCGGGCAGUGUCUCCCCCUGCUUGACUGGCUGCAGUUUGUACCGGACGGUUUGUUUAAUAAAUAAAACGAGUAUAAAAACCAUAAAAUGUUUUCAUUUUAUAAAUUGUUAUUCAUUAAUUAAAUAUAAAUAGAUAACAACUUGAUUAACAAGCAUAUUUAUAUAACAUUGUUUAUUAAACAGACCGUCCGAUACAAACUCUUAGUUAGUACUAUUGCUCAAAAACUGAUUCUCUUGAAUCAGCAGACUCGAGAGUUUAUAGCGCCGUCAAGAAGCUGUGUUGUGUGUGUUGAUCGUCUCCACCAUGCACGCGAUAAUCAAGACCAGCAACGUCUUGAUCAAGAAGAAGAAAAGAA